UACGGGGGGGGCUAGCGUUGUUCGGAAUUACUGGGCGUAAAGGGCGCGUAGGCGGCUGAGCAGGUCCGGUGUGAAAUCCCUCGGCUUAACUGAGGAAUUGCGCUGGAAACCGCUCGGCUAGAGUACAGGAGAGGAGGGCGGAAUUCUCGGUGUAGCGGUGAAAUGCGUAGAUAUCGAGAAGAACACCGGUGGCGAAGGCGGCCCUCUGGACUGUCACUGACGCUGAGGCGCGAAAGCGUGGGGAGCGAACGGGAUUAGAUACCCCGGUAGUCCACGCUGUAAACGUUGGGUACUUGGUGUUGGGAGUUUGAUUCUCUCAGUGCCGUAGCAAACGCGUUAAGUACCCCGCCUGGGGAGUACGGUCGCAAGGCUGAA
rnacentral:rRNA from 1 species